rnacentral:rRNA from 1 species
GAUGAACGCUGGCGGCGUGCCUAAUACAUGCAAGUCGAGCGAACGGACGAGAAGCUUGCUUCUCUGAUGUUAGCGGCGGACGGGUGAGUAACACGUGGAUAACCUACCUAUAAGACUGGGAUAACUUCGGGAAACCGGAGCUAAUACCGGAUAAUAUUUUGAACCGCAUGGUUCAAAAGUGAAAGACGGUCUUGCUGUCACUUAUAGAUGGAUCCGCGCUGCAUUAGCUAGUUGGUAAGGUAACGGCUUACCAAGGCAACGAUGCAUAGCCGACCUGAGAGGGUGAUCGGCCACACUGGAACUGAGACACGGGCCAGACUCCUACGGGAGGCAGCAGUAGGGAAUCUUCCGGAAUGGGCGAAAGCCUGACGGAGCAACGCCGCGUGAGUGAUUAAGGGUUUCGGAUCGUAAAACCCUUUUAUUAGGGAAGAAAAUAUGUGGAAGGAACUGUGCACAACCUGAAGGUACCUAAUCAGAAAGCCACGGCUAAAUACGUG